GCUUUAAAAGCUUUGCUGAAGCAACGGCCUUGUAAGUCGUAGAAAACAUAAAUGUUUUAAAGCU
rnacentral:tRNA from 1 species